UACGUAGGGUGCAAGCGUUGUCCGGAAUUAUUGGGCGUAAAGAGCUUGUAGGCGGUUUGUCGCGUCUGCUGUGAAAUUUCGGGGCUCAACCCCGAACUUGCAGUGGGUACGGGCAGACUAGAGUGUGGUAGGGGAGACUGGAAUUCCUGGUGUAGCGGUGAAAUGCGCAGAUAUCAGGAGGAACACCGGUGGCGAAGGCGGCACUCUGGGCCGGUACUGACGCUGAGGAGCGAAAGCGUGGGGAGCGAACAGG
rnacentral:rRNA from 1 species